CGCCUCUGCGCUAGAUCCCGUCCCACGUGGAGACUAGGCGGGCGCGCGCACACAACGGCAUCUGUCCCCGUGGCGUACCCAUCAGGCCUCCUUGCGAAGACGUGACCUUGACCUGACGUACAGCAAGACACGAUCUCAUGUAUAUCUGCCAGAUCCCUACCUGUCUGAUAAUUCAGCAGCGUGUUUCCCUGAAAAUUCUUGAAAGGAUUGUUCAACUCAGAUACUAGUGAAUGAAGAAGGUUUAAAAACGAAGAAGGAAAAUGCCGGAAGCCAAGACAGAAAAUAGUACGGAGACUUGAUUUAGGUUGAAGAUGAGGAAAGGCCCCCGUGAGGAUGGGACGUUUUGGCUGGUACCUAAAGGAGAAGUGGGAGACAGCCAGAUCAGUCCCUGCGGGAGAACGGGGAGGGAUUUGGGAUUUGGCUGAGGCAUAAGUCCAGGUGCAACACACACCAACAGCAGCUUUGCCUGACCACACGGGGUGAGGCAAAAUGGUCUGUCAGAACUGUCUCCUAACGGGCCAGAAUGGUUGGACCUUUAUAACCUUCCCUCCAUCACAGCAGUCAUUGAAAUGUAAGCCACUGUGGUGAGGGUGUGACCUGGGGCAGGUGGCUCUGCAGCCCAUGCAUCCCUGAGGACACCGACAGCUGAAGGCUCUCUGCUAAGAGCAUUCCCUGCAGCUGAGGCAACAUGCCCUUCCUUGACGGGGGUCUGGGGGGCACAUCUUCGUGUCCGUCACAAUGCUCAAUAUUAUAAUAAGCUUUCAAAAAUCAAUAACAAGCAAAAUAAUCCAGUAACAAAUAGAGUAGAAGACAAAAGUAGGCAAUUCAUGGAUAACUCACAAGUUAUCAAUAGAUACAUAAAAAUACACUCAGCCCUUCUUAGCAAUAAGGAACAUGCAAACUAGAACGAGCAGCCUUUUGGUUUUGUUAUCCUUGCAUUGGCAAAAAUUUAAUGACUGAUGGUCCUACAGCAGAUGAAAGUGCAGUUGUUCCGCUGCUCAUCCUGGGAUUCCUGGACAACAUCCCUCCCCAUGUGAUGGGGCUUCCUCCGUGAAGGAGCAUCCUGUUAGUGUACGGGAGUUUGCAGUAGCCAAGGGGAAUUUCCACGCUGGGGGUUGGGGGUGAAUUAAACUAUUAAAUAGACUGGUUCAUGUGACUGUCUCCACAGCCCACGGGAAAAGCAAGCAGAAAAUUCUACAGGAGUUUGUCAUAAAUACAUUUCAGUUUCUAGUCUUCUAUUCUGGAGGUCAGCUGUUUCUGAGAGAGGAGUCAUAAUUUUCGUUUGUUGCCCAGGAAAGACCUUACCUGUGCUUAGCUAUAUGCUAAUAAAUGCAGAGAAACAUCUGGAAGGUCAUCUCGGAAGCUUACUUCUGUGUUAUUUUGUCUUUUAAAAAGGCUUUAGAUGAUCUUCCAGCAAAAGUGAUGCCUUCCACUGUAGCCAAGCAUCUUCUUAGCUCUCUGAGCUAAGCGCUUUCAGAGCUCCAUUCCAAGCCCACGUGGACGUCUCUUCUUUAUGAGCCUGAGACACUCGUUAAGGAUCGUCACUCUAACUCCCUGCCCUCCAAACAGAAUUUAGACAGAAAGAAAGCCAGAGAGGAAGAUCGGAUGAAACAGUCCACUCUGGGUGGGUCACAGUGAGCAAGAAGGAGAGCGGUAGACAGAUCCUUAGAGCCUAUGGCACAUUGUCAGGAUUUUUGAAUUUAUCCUACACACAGUGGGAACAAGGCGUUCUCAGCACGGAGUGCCGUGAUUCAAUUUCUGUUUUGUACCUGUCACUGUGGUUGGAGUGUGGCCAAUCAAUGGGCAGGGGCUAGUAUGGCGUGAUCUCUAUCUUUGAGCACCAAUUAAGAAAAAAUUUAAAUGUUUCUGUACUUUUUUUUAAAAACUAAAUGUUAACAUCGUUUUAAAAUUUUUAUUAGAAAACCAAUAUCUGCUACUAUGUAUAAGCAUGUUUUGGUUAUUUUUCAGUUAUUGAAGAGUUUCUCUUUUGUUACAAAAUAUCAAAAUUAUCUGACAUCUGCUCUGUGGUGCCUGGUGUGAUGCAGCACAUUUGAACAAACUUUGUAGCUGAGAAGACACUUCUAAAGCCAGUUUAUUGUGACUUUCUUGACUUACCUUCUAAGCUACUUAAUUCUAAGAUACAAUUUUUCCCAUAGAGACAAUUUUAUAUUCUUUAAGAUAAAGGAAUUUUCCAUUGCAAACAAGAUAAAUCGUAAUGCGUCUAACACAAAGAAUGCCUUAAUUAACAUACUUGGAAUCAAAAGACUUUCGUCGCAGAAGCCAUAGUUGGAGCUAUAAAUUUUAUGAAAUAAGUGACUCUCCUUAGCCCCACCUGAGUCUCCGGUGAGAAGCCCCCAAGGAGAGGUGUCCUAGUGCUUAGGAUCUGUGCUCUGAGGGCCCGAAGCAGGGAGCAGCCAUUACACGUCCAUUCAUGCUGUAGAAGCCAGCUGCCUUUGUCAGAGAUUCACGCGUCCUGUGUGCACCAGCCCUUCUUGUGUAAGACCAGUCAGGGCUCACAGUCAGGCCGAUGCCAACAAGAGAUCCUCCUUAUCCACUGGAUGAGCCGAAAUUAGGUGGAGGCCUUGCCCACAAAGUCAGCAGACCAUCAGCCACCUACGACUCGGGUUGGUGUUCACUGCCUCUCAGGGUUGAGAAGAAAUGGGUGGACAUGCAGUGGUCACUAGUGACCUUUGAGGACUGUCUGCAAUCAGCUAGAACGUUAACCCAGUGCCUCUUUCUAGUCUAUAUUUGUAAAAGCUCUGACCCACUGCUAGUGUGUAUACUUAUAAAAUGCAUCUGCCCUAUUAUGAGUGAUACAAAAUAUAUCACUUAUGGGCAAUAUUAUUCAUGAUGUAUAAUUUUAUUUUUUUAUCUUUUUCUUUUGCACUUUCUAUCUUUUAAAACUUUUUUUCUAAGCUUUACUCCAUGUGAAAAUAAUGCCACAAUUACCUACCUAGUCUGCUCAG